UCCGCCCGGUCGGCGCCUACCGCAUCAGCGCCAGGCCACUGAAGGGGAGCUACCAGGAGGACGCCGUCGAGCUUCCCCAUGCACGACCUAGUUGAGACAAGGCUGGGUGUUGGUGUCUGCUGCUGCUGCUGCUGCUGCGACCUACCAGAGCUGUUGCCAGUGGCCACAUUUCCGUGCUCCUGUCGCCGACCACCUCCCCAAUAAGCUACUGCUGGUUCAAAUCAUUCUAGAAGAGGAGAUGCCGGGUGUGAAGGGUGGUACCGGGAGGCGGUGUCGGAGGAGGAAGCGUGGUGGCGAACACCAUCGGCAACAUCCUCAAGUGCAGAGUGGAGGCACUCAGGAUGACGAGGAGGACUGAAUGACUGUGGUUGCCCCUUCUUCUUCAACUCCAUGUGUUUUCUGGAGAAGUUUCCAGCUCCUCUCUGUUAUUUCUAAGCCUUUUGUAGUUUUUACACCUCAAAUAUGUGUCAAGCUUUAAUUGCUUUCUUGGAUAUAGUGGAUGUACUUGCUUCUGUGAAAUGAAGCUUGAGUUUCUAGCAGACUUUCUUGACUUGUGUAUAUUUGGAUGUGCAAAUGAGUCGGUGUUGUGUGACUUGCUCACUGUAUUCGCUAGUGUGUUAUGAAUGUGGAUGUCCAGGAAUUUAGAUGAGCCCAUGCCGAAUUUUUUCUUGACCUGAUGUAGCUGAAUCAUUAGCUGAAGGAUGUGUUGGCAACCGUGUCUUUGUCGUCUGCUGUGUUACCGAUGGUGGUUUGUUUGAGUAAAUAAUUAGUAGUGUUCAAGUUGCAGGACAAGAGCUAGAGCUCAGGAAGGUGUCAAGUUUAGAAUGAUUUAAGCCUCCAUAUACAUGCAAUAGUUACCUCCGUUUUGUUGUUACAAAAAGGCCAGCCUGUAGGUUUUCUAUGUAUUGCUGCUUGUUUCUCAGUAUACUUGUGCAGUAUCAAUUGCAAUUUGUUGCAAAUGCACAGACUUGGUCCGCUCUUGUUUGUUUCAGUUUGCCUAGGUGCCUAGCUGUUUGUUGUAUAUAUGGUCUGCACCAUUUUGAAUGAUGCUGUGUUAUUUCAUUUCAGGUGAAGAAGAAUAAGAGGAUGAAGACUAAGAAUGAGCCGCUAGAUUCUUCUACUUUGUGCAACCUGCUUGGGGAUUAUCUCAGCCUCGCGCGUGGGGCUCUGGUCCACCAAAGUCCCUCGCCGAUGUGCUUCGCGGUGGCUGGCCACUUGCUUCUUUUGGUCAAGCCGUUGUGGUGCAUCUGGUAGACAGCAAUGUGAAGAAGAAGAAGAAGAAUAAGGGGGAACUUGGGUCCCUGCGCCGCUUGACGGUUAUUUUCACUUAGUGAUGUGCACAGCACUUUCAGAAGUGUACACGUUGUUGCGGGUCAGUCUGUGGCUUGGGUUGCUGCGGUGGCGCAGGAGGAGGAGGGUGCGGCCUUGCUGUGCGGAUGCUUUUGCUGCUGGUGCCGCAGCAGGCACGUAUUUUUUGUAAUGUAAUAUG